AAAUUGAAGAGUUUGAUCAUGGCUCAGAUUGAACGCUGGCGGCAGGCCUAACACAUGCAAGUCGAACGGUAACAGGAAGAAGCUUGCUUCUUUGCUGACGAGUGGCGGACGGGUGAGUAAUGUCUGGGAAACUGCCUGAUGGAGGGGGAUAACUACUGGAAACGGUAGCUAAUACCGCAUAACGUCGCAAGACCAAAGAGGGGGACCUUCGGGCCUCUUGCCAUCGGAUGUGCCCAGAUGGGAUUAGCUAGUAGGUGGGGUAACGGCUCACCUAGGCGACGAUCCCUAGCUGGUCUGAGAGGAUGACCAGCCACACUGGAACUGAGACACGGUCCAGACUCCUACGGGAGGCAGCAGUGGGGAAUAUUGCACAAUGGGCGCAAGCCUGAUGCAGCCAUGCCGCGUGUAUGAAGAAGGCCUUCGGGUUGUAAAGUACUUUCAGCGGGGAGGAAGGGAGUAAAGUUAAUACCUUUGCUCAUUGACGUUACCCGCAGAAGAAGCACCGGCUAACUCCGUGCCAGCAGCCGCGGUAAUACGGAGGG
rnacentral:rRNA from 1 species